GCAUAGCGGUAUCCUGAGUAACGCGGGACACGAGGAAUCCUGCGCGAAUCUGCCGGGACCAUCCGGUAAGGCUAAAUACUCCCGUGAGACCGAUAGCGAACGAGUACUGUGAAGGAAAGGUGAAAAGAACCCCGAGCAGGGGAGUGAAAUAGUUCCUGAAACCAUACGCCUACAAGCGGUCGGAGCAUCGCAAGAUGUGACGGCGUGCCUUUUGCAUAAUGAUCCUACGAGUUACCGUCACUGGCGAGGUUGAGUGUCACGAGACACGUAGCCGCAGUGAAAGCGAGCCUGAACAGGGCGCACAGUCAGUGGGGGUAGACGCGAAACCAAGUGAUCUACACUUGGCCAGGAUGAAGUCCCGGUAACACGGGAUGGAGGUCCGCACCAAUAAGCGUUGAAAAGCUUCUGGAUGAG
rnacentral:rRNA from 1 species